rnacentral:miRNA from 1 species
CAUGUUGUGUUUUUGUGUC